rnacentral:rRNA from 1 species
GGGGAAUAUUGGACAAUGGGCGCAAGCCUGAUCCAGCCAUGCCGCGUGAGUGAUGAAGGCCUUAGGGUUGUAAAGCUCUUUCAGUAGGGAAGAUAAUGACGGUACCUACAGAAGAAGCCCCGGCUAACUUCGUGCCAGCAGCCGCGGUAAUACGAAGGGGGCUAGCGUUGUUCGGAUUUACUGGGCGUAAAGCGCACGUAGGCGGAUUGGUCAGUUAGAGGUGAAAUCCCGAAGCUCAACUUCGGAACUGCCUUUAAUACUGCUAGUCUCGAGUCCGGAAGAGGUGAGUGGAACUCCUAGUGUAGAGGUGGAAUUCGUAGAUAUUAGGAAGAACACCAGUGGCGAAGGCGGCUCACUGGUCCGGUACUGACGCUGAGGUGCGAAAGCGUGGGGAGCAAAC